rnacentral:rRNA from 1 species
AACGAACGCUGGCGGCGCGCCUAACACAUGCAAGUCGAACGAGAAGGCGUAGCAAUACGCUUGUAGAGUGGCGAACGGGUGAGUAAUACGUGGGUGACCUACCCUCGAGUGGGGAAUAACCCGCCGAAAGGCGGGCUAAUGCCGCGUACGCUUCCGUCCUCACGGGGACGGAAGGAAAGCUGUACCGUGGGUACGGCGCUCAAGGAUGGGCUCACGUCCUAUCAGCUUGUUGGUAGGGUAGCGGCCACCAAGGCUACGACGGGUAGCUGGUCUGAGAGGACGAUCAGCCACACUGGCACUGCGACACGGGCCAGACUCCUACGGGAGGCAGCAGUGGGGAAUUUUGGACAAUGGGCGCAAGCCUGAUCCAGCCAUGCCGCGUGCGGGAAGAAGGCCU